UAAUACAGAGGUCUCGAGCGUUGUUCGGAUUCAUUGGGCGUAAAGGGUGCGUAGGUGGUCGUGUAAGUCGGAUGUGAAAUCCCGGGGCUCAACCCCCGGAACUGCAUUCGAUACUGCUUGGCUUGAGUACUGGAGAGGAGAUCGGAAUUUACGGUGUAGCAGUGAAAUGCGUAGAUAUCGUAAGGAAGACCAGUGGCGAAGGCGGAUCUCUGGACAGUUACUGACACUGAGGCACGAAGGCCAGGGGAGCAAACGGGAUUAGAUACCCCGGUAGUCCUGGCAGUAAACGGUGCGCGUUUGGUGUGGGAGGAUUCGACCCCUUCCGUGCCGGAGCUAACGCGUUAAACGCGCCGCCUGGGGAGUACGGUCGCAAGAUUAAAACUCAAAGAAAUUGACGGGGGCCCGCACAAGCGGUGGAGUAUGUGGCUUAAUUCGAUGCAACGCGAAGAACCUUACCUGGCCUUGACAUGCAUCUCUAAGUCGGUGAAAGCCGGCGAGUGUAGCAAUACACAAUUUGC
rnacentral:rRNA from 1 species